GCGGGAUUCGUAUAGUGGUAGUACGGCUCUCUUCCAAGGAGCAAGCGCCAGUUCGAUUCUGGUAUCCCGCUCAA
rnacentral:tRNA from 2 species